UUUUGGCUCCGUAAAAGUUGUGCUUUGCAUUUAUAGGAAAUUGCUAUCAUCAUGUAACAAGCAGAUGGUUAGCAGUGAUGCUGGUAAUGCUAGUGACCACAUGCCUAACUUCCUUAGUGAUCAUCCUUUGUUGGCACAAUGAAUGAAGAUGGUUGGGCAAGCUUAGCGGGCGACUUCUUUUUGCAAUCUUUUGUUAGUACUUGGUUUUCUUUUUUUUAACAAUGAUGGAGACUUUGUACUCUAAAUUAUUCAAUGAAUGUUUUGGAUUAAUUUUUGGUGAUUGUUCUUUUUUUAACAAUGAUGGAAACUUUGUACUUCAAAUUAUUUAAUAAAUGUUUGGGAUUAAUUUUAGGUGAUUGUUAUA